GACGAACGCUGGCGGCGUGCCUAAUACAUGCAAGUCGAACGCAGUGGGGACGGGUGAGUAACACGUGGGUAACCUCCCAUCAGAGGGGAUAACACUUGGAAAAAGGUGCUAAACCGAUACUGAUGGAUGGACCCGCGGUGCAUUAGCUAGUUGGUGGGGUAACGGCUCACCAAGGCCACGAUGCAUAGCCGACCUGAGAGGGUGAUCGGCCACACUGGGACUGAGACACGGCCCAGACUCCUACGGGAGGCAGCAGUAGGGAAUCUUCGGCAAUGGGCGAAAGCCUGACCGAGCAACGCCGCGUGAGUGAAGAAGGUUUUCGGAUCGUAAAACUCUGUUGUUGGAGAAGCGGUAUCUAACCAGAAAGCCACGGCUAACUACGUGCCAGCAGCCGCGGUAAUUC
rnacentral:rRNA from 1 species